rnacentral:sRNA from 1 species
AAUUAAUUCAUGUGAAGUGGAUAGAGACUAAAAUUAUUGGGUUUAUAAAUAAUUCAUGGUGAAGCGGAUAGAGAAUAAAAGUAUUCAAUU